rnacentral:rRNA from 1 species
GGGUGAGUAACACGUGGAUAACCUACCUAUAAGACUGGGAUAACUUCGGGAAACCGUAGCUAAUACCGGAUAAUAUUUUGAACCGCAUGGUUCAAAAGUGAAAGACGGUCUUGCUGUCACUUAUAGAUGGAUCCGCGCUGCAUUAGCUAGUUGGUAAGGUAACGGCUUACCAAGGCAACGAUGCAUAGCCGACCUGAGAGGGUGAUCGGCCACACUGGAACUGAGACACGGUCCAG